rnacentral:sRNA from 1 species
UGUGAACGUUACCAAACUGUUGCCUCGGCGGGAUCUCUGCCCCGGGUGCGUCGCAGCCCCGGACCAAGGCGCCCGCCGGAGGACCAACCAAAACUCUUAUUGUAUACCCCCUCGCGGGUUUUUUUUAUAAUCUGAGCCUUCUCGGCGCCUCUCGUAGGCGUUUCGAAAAUGAAUCAAAACUUUCAACAACGGAUCUCUUGGUUCUGGCAUCGAUGAAGAACGCAGCGAAAUGCGAUAAGUAAUGUGAAUUGCAGAAUUCAGUGAAUCAUCGAAUCUUUGAACGCACAUUGCGCCCGCCAGUAUUCUGGCGGGCAUGCCUGUCCGAGCGUCAUUUCAACCCUCGAACCCCUCCGGGGGGUCGGCGUUGGGGAUCGGCCCUGCCUUGGCGGUGGCCGUCUCCGAAAUACAGUGGCGGUCUCGCCGCAGCCUCUCCUGCGCAGUAGUUUGCACACUCGCAUCGGGAGCGCGGCGCGUCCACAGCCGUUAAACACCCAACUUCUGAAAUGUUGACCUCGGAUCAGGUAGGAAUACCCGCUGAACUUAAGCAUAUCAAUAAGCGGAGGAAAAGAAACCAACAGGGAUUGCCCCAGUAACGGCGAGUGAAGCGGCAACAGCUCAAAUUUGAAAUCUGGUCCCUAGGGCCCGAGUUGUAAUUUGUAGAGGAUGCUUUUGGUGAGGUGCCGCCCGAGUUCCCUGGAACGGGACGCCACAGAGGGUGAGAGCCCCGUCUGGCUGGCCGCCGAGCCUCUGUAAAGCUCCUUCGACGAGUCGAGUAGUUUGGGAAUGCUGCUCAAAAUGGGAGGUAUAUGUCUUCUAAAGCUAAAUAUUGGCCAGAGACCGAUAGCGCACAAGUAGAGUGAUCGAAAGAUGAAAAGCACCUUGAAAAGAGGGUUAAAUAGUACGUGAAAUUGUUGAAAGGGAAGCGCUUGUGACCAGACUUGGGCGCGGCGGAUCAUCCGGGGUUCUCUCCGGUGCACUUCGCCGCGUCUAGGCCAGCAUCAGUUCGUCCCGGGGGGAAAAAGGUUUCGGGAACGUGGUUCCUCCCGGGAGUGUUAUAGCCCGUUGCUAAAUACCCUGCGGUGGACUGAGGACCGCCAUCU